rnacentral:rRNA from 1 species
AGAGUUUGAUCAUGGCUCAGAACGAACGCUGGCGGCAGGCCUAACACAUGCAAGUCGAACGAGACCUUCGGGUUUAGUGGCGCACGGGUGAGUAACGCGUGGGAAUCUGCCCUGUGGUACGGAAUAACAUCGGGAAACUGGUGCUAAUACCGUAUAUCCCCUGAGGGGGAAAGAUUUAUCGCCAUAGGAGGAGCCCGCGUAGGAUUAGCUAGUUGGUGGGGUAACGGCCUACCAAGGCGACGAUCCUUAGCUGGUCUGAGAGGAUGACCAGCCACACUGGGACUGAGAUACGGCCCAGACUCCUACGGGAGGCAGCAGUGGGGAAUAUUGGACAAUGGGGGAAACCCUGAUCCAGCCAUGCCGCGUGUGUGAUGAAGGCCUUCGGGUUGUAAAGCACUUUCGCACGUGACGAUGAUGACGGUAACGUGAGAAGAAGCCCCGGCUAACUUCGUGCCAGCAGCCGCGGUAAUACGAAGGGGGCAAGCGUUGUUCGGAAUUACUGGGCGUAAAGGGCGCGUAGGCGGUGCUCUAAGUCAGGCGUGAAAGCCCUGGGCUCAACCCGGGAACUGCGCUUGAUACUGGGGCGCUUGAAUCCAGGAGAGGUUGGUGGAAUUCCCAGUGUAGAGGUGAAAUUCGUAGAGAUUGGGAAGAACACCGGUGGCGAAGGCGGCCAACUGGACUGGUAUUGACGCUGAGGCGCGAAAGCGUGGGGAGCAAACAGGAUUAGAUACCCUAGUAGUCC